rnacentral:lncRNA from 1 species
CCGCCGUGCUCUGUCGCUACCAGCAAACCCCUCCGAAAAGUGCGGAACCUGUUUCUUCAUAGAAGAAUAUUGUUCUCUUGCGGUGCCAAGCCACAUAAUUGUCCACAACAUAUCGUUUAGCAGAGAAUGAAGACUACCCAAAUAGCAAGAUACGCCAUCCGUCUCAAUUACGGCCAGGUGAAUGAAUUCGCUGCUGGCUCAAAGUCGUCCGACCGCACGACGGUUCGAUCGGCAGCUCUCCUAGCUGCCCUCGGAAUUGGUCUGUCGUCGUUCAGCAUGAAACAGAUGCUGACCAAGCAACCCAAGAGAAAGUACUAGGAUGGGGAAGUAAACUGCAUCACUCACUACGAUCAUCAACCUACCAAACAACAAUAUUGAACAUGAAGAUGUUGAAGCUCAGAACAUGUGUGACUUCAAAUACCAUUACAUAACGGACUGCGAUGCCGCAAAAAGGAACUGAAUGCGGGUGGUUUCGAGCGAUUGCUGAUUAGAAUGAACGAGACAAUUUCAUCGAUUUGUUUGCUUAUGAAAAAAGGUACGUUAGCUUUGAGGAAAUAAUUUCCCUUGUUGCAUUACAACACACACAAACAAAAAUCUGGAUCAAGAUAGCCAGUUGACGAGGGCAUGAAGAGGCGCUCAGCAUAUAUCUAAACGACAUCAUCUUGACCAUAGCGAAUCCCCAUGGAGAUUGGUUGAUAUGGUUGGAUCACGAUGAGGAUUCUUCUUUGCGCCACCAAAUGCUGAUUAAAUUUGGUUUCUAGUUUUAGUUAGCCUUAUCAAAUUGUUUAUUUUAUAAGAUGGAUGUUAUAGCUAAUAACCGCAUCAAGCGAACAAAAUUCGAAAUGAAUGUAAAGGAUGAAUGCGUAGCACGGGAAAACAGCAGGGAGAGGGUUUGAGUUUUUCAUGAACGAAAAAUUGAAACUGGGUUCAAAAUUGUAACAAUGAUUUUAGACGCAACCGUGUGAUCUCAAUUGAGUCGUUCAUAGCUUACCAAGCAAUGAUGACUGUAACGGAAUUUUUGCAGCACUGUGUAUGGUGUCGAUAUUUAUUACUAAAUGUAUGACUUAUUGUUUGAGGACAAGAUUAGUAAAAGAAAAUUGUAACGUCAUUGCUUUGGAUAUUUACUAAUGCUUCUCAAUUGAGAUGUUGCGAUGGAUGUGAAUUAGUGAUACGAAAAAUAUCAAAAUUAUUAGGUGUGUUAACAAUUGAGGAAUAAUGCUAGAAUGUGGACGUGAAAGGGAAACUAAUUGACGGUACGACAUUAACACAAUGCAAUGCAAGAAGUUUUUACUUCACAAUGAGCAGUUAGAAUGAAUGAAAACAAAGAUUACUACAAAAUA